rnacentral:rRNA from 1 species
CCUACGGGAGGCAGCAGUGAGGAAUAUUGGUCAAUGGGCGCGAGCCUGAACCAGCCAAGUAGCGUGAAGGAUGACGGCCCUACGGGUUGUAAACUUCUUUUAUAAAGGAAUAAAGUGAGGCACGUGUGCCUUUUUGUAUGUACUUUAUGAAUAAGGAUCGGCUAACUCCGUUCCAGCAGCCGCGGUAAUACGGAGGAUCCGAGUGUUAUCCGGAUUUAUUGGGGUUAAAGGGAGCGUAGAUGGGUUGUUAAGUCAGGUGGGAAAGUUGGCGGCUCAACCCUAAAAUUGCAAUUGAAACUGGCAGUCUUGAGUACAGUUGAGGUAGGCGGAAUUCGUGGUGUAGCGGUGAAAUGCUUAGAUAUCACGAAGAACCCCGAUUGCGAAGGCAGCUUACUAAACUGCCACUGACAUUGAUGCUCGAAAGUGUGGGUAUCAAACAGGAUUAGAUACCCCAGUAGUC